rnacentral:misc_RNA from 1 species
UUUCCGUAGGUGAACCUGCGGAAGGAUCAUUACCAAGACGUUUUUUUGCAAUGUAAAAACCUGCAAAAAACUCCCCACCCUUUGUGUACUAUAUUGUCUCUUUGGCGUUCCGUUUUCAAGGUUGAAAAGAUGCUUUGGUGUUACAGCCAGGGAGUAUUUUCUGACAUUGAGACCACUGGCAAGCAAUUGCGAGUGUGCGUCCGCCAAAGUAAUAUUCAAAACUCUUUAAUUAUAGAAUGCAGUCUGAUUACAAAAAACAAUAAAAUCAAAACUUUCAACAACGGAUCUCUUGGUUCUGGCAUCGAUGAAGAACGCAGC